UACGAAGGGGGCUAGCGUUGCUCGGAAUCACUGGGCGUAAAGGGCGCGUAGGCGGCCGGCCAAGUCGGGGGGUGAAAGCCUGUGGCUCAACCACAGAAUGGCCCUCGAUACUGGACGGCUCGAGACCGGAAGAGGUUGGUGGAAUUGCGAGUGUAGAGGUGAAAUUCGUAGAUAUUCGCAAGAACACCGAUGGCGAAGGCGCAAGCUGGCCG
rnacentral:rRNA from 1 species